rnacentral:rRNA from 1 species
GAGGGAGGGAGGGAGGAGGAGGGGGAGGCUUCAGAUUUCAAAAAGAGACCUGGCUCGUUCGGUACUGCCAAUUCCUUUGGUGUGGAUUUUGAGUUGUUAAGAACCCUUGAUUGAUGCAAAUCUUAAUUUUGUUUUGUGUGGAGCAUUAGUGUUGGGGAUAUCUUGUUAAACAUCCAGUUCCCCUGACAUGCAUGAACUGUUCAGUAUAGGAUGCCCAUCUUAUGCAGCUAUGUUUGCUCUUUUUACAUUGUUUUCUAUCAUGUGUUAUGUUUGCAACAUUUCCCUAUACUCUGAUUGAUAACAUGUAUUUUGAUGUUUUUGCCUAAUUUGUGUGUGCCUUGGUUUUGUAGGAAGUUGUCAAAUCUUGGUCUGAAGGGAAUGUUAUCUCCUGAGAUUGGACAGCUUAAUAAUAUGCAUUUUCUUAUACUGCACAGGAACUUGUUCUAUGGUAUUAUCCCUAGAGAGAUGGUAGAUUUACGAGAGCUGAAGGUGUUGGAUCUGGGGUACAAUAACUUAAAUGGAUCAAUUCCAUCAGAGCUAAUAAACAUUUUAUCCCUGGAAUUUAUCUUUCUUAAAAGAAACAAACUUUAUGGUGAUUUACCUCUUGAACUAAAUGAGCUCAUCAGUCUGUGUGAGUCUCAGGUUCGGCACGGCAGGACUUUCUCAAAUAGGAUGCCCGCUGCAAGGUUUGUCUAGGUUUUCUUCUACAUGCAUAUGUGAGAGUUAAACUCGUGAUUAUGCAAGGCUUGAGUUAAAUUUUCAAAUCAAACAGGGAUUUGAGCAAGCUUGAUUUUGGUUAAAAAAUCCCACCCUGUUCCUGCAGUCACAUGUAUGUUAAUGAUAUCUGAAAUAUUUCAGAAUUAUCUGUUUUGACUCAAGAAAUAUCAGACUUCUUUUGGGAACAUUUCCUCCACAAAAUGGUAAAUUAUAUCCGAGUUGGCAUCCCUGAAACCCAGCCCAAAUCCCCACAUAUAACCUCACUCUGGACAAACCCUAGACCCAAAUCUCUAGACAAUGCCAUGUUGAAAGAUAGGCUCGCGAAGAUUCGGCUCAAGAAUUCCUGAGGGUACUUCUGUCUUUAUCAUAUUUGUUCUCACACCUUGGGCAUUGUGUUUUCCUGCCGCAAUGCACGGGUCGACCCGCAGUCCUCAUAUUAAGUGAACCACAAGGGGUACAUGCGAGAGAAAAGAAAAAUAAACCCAACCACCAGCAUGACUCUUCCUCUUGAUCCCAUCUGGACUUUAGUAUUCUCGGGAUAUAUCUGAUUAUGAUGAUGUUCCGUACUGCUUUGGAGCCGACAACUUUUUGGACUGCUCGAUGUUUAUAACCAAUGAGACUACAUUUUUGGUUCUUAUCUCGAGGCUGGAGCUAUCACUAUGACUGAAAUUUUAUUUUCACCAAAGUAAAUUUAUAUGGUCAUCAAAAACCAACGCCGGGCCAACACUUGUCCGCAAUUUGCAAUUUUUAUUACAGUAUGCGUAAGCCAAUGGUCAGCCAUUGUUGUUUUAGUUAGGAAAUGUAGAAAAUGUGUUCAUGAUUUAUGUAGAUUGGUCAGUCCCUUCAAACAGUAUUCGAUCUUAAGCGGACAAUCUAACUAUAUGUUUCCUUAUAGAAAAUUAACUAUAUGUUCCAUGAAUUGACUGAUUAGUUUGGCCAGAUCAUAUUAAACUAGGUCUUGAUUUGAAGGUCCAGUUAGGGCAGCUGGUGCGGGUUUGUUUGUUGUAAUACUAACUAUGCUAUUUAGACAGAGACAUGUCAUCUUUCUCAUUCCUUGACAUUUUCCUUUGCUGCCAAGUUUUUUCAUUUUAGGUUGUGGAAAAACGGAUGUAGCAUUCCUUCUACAAGUUGUCAUGAGCUGGGACAUAGAAGAAGAGAACCGACGAGAAGUUGCACAGCGGUUCGCUCUGGUGUAGCUGCCAAUGGCGUUGUGCAAAGUGUAGAUUGCAGGCUAGAUGCGUACGAGUCCGUCCCUAUGUCCACGAUGUCGAAGCAUAGAAAAUCAAGUCAAUUAGAUAAUAUAUCUGGCUAUGAAAGUUGUCUUUUGUGUAUGCAGUUUUGCCAUUAUUUUGUAAAAGCUUUUAGUUUUUAA